rnacentral:lncRNA from 1 species
GGGGGCGUGGGGGGAGGGGACGGCGGUGAAGGGGCGCCGCCGCAGGGCGCAGGUGCCGUGUCCAUGACAACCGCGUUCCCCUCCGCGCGGGCACCCGGACCUGAGUGGCCGCAAGCCGCGAGCAGCGGAUUCUGAGACUCGAUAAAGUGCACAUGAGUCAACUGUGUACACUUAAAACUUCCUUAGCCGACAACAACGAUGUUUCAGGACCACGGACAGUGACACCGCAUGUUCCACUCACGGAGCUUUUUCCUUAGGCUCAGCCUAUAGAACAGGAGACAGACAUCACCGAGGAUACAGGAUGUGCUUCAAGAGGUAAAUGCUGAACACUAAAUGAGCUGUACCAAAAGAUAUGAACAGAAUGGAAAAAGGAAAGCGUGCCAUGAACUGGUGUAGGAAGGAAGAAGUAGGCCCUCCAGCUAGACUUUGAAGAAAGAAUAGGUAACAUUUAGGGAGACAUCACAGGACCCUAAAGUGGUGAGAGGAGGGUAAGUUAGCCAGGGAGGUAUUCCAAUAAAAAUAGGGAUACUUCAUUGUACCACUGCACAGUACUGUCCUGAGGGCAAAGUAUACUUCUCAUUUUAAUUAGUCUAAAGUAGUUCCGGUUAAAUAAGAUAGAACACUGUCUCGAGAACUGACACUUUUUUGUUUUUUACUGUGAUUUUUCAUUCUCUUUUCAGGCUAGAGGCGAUAAAUGUAAAAAAUGCAGGCCAAAGGAUUAUCAGACAAGUUCAUCUCUUUAACAUUGAGAGGAUUCAUUUAUAGAUUUAUGGAGAAUCAGACUCAGUGUGUUUCUUCUCUCAUAAUCAUGGGACUAGUCAACUACAAUUAUGAAUCACCCAGACUAAGUUAUGCCGAGGUAAAAGAUAAUCACCAGAUCUCAGAGGGUUAUGUACUACCUCUGUUUUACAUUACUCUCCUUCUGAGACCCUAGCUACCUGCAAGGCCACUACCUGGAAUCUAAUUCAUUAUCAUUACGAGGGACAGAAAACAAUGAAUUGGUCUCUCCCAGGAAUAAUGUGUAUAUUGGAUCCUGCUAGUCACAUAGCUCACAUAACCACAAGGUGCUUUGAAGUUCAAAACUACCACAUGCUUGGGAGACAAGGAACCUGAAAUACGUGGUAAACAGUUCUAAUAACCACAGUGAAAAAAAAAAAUGUUAGGGCAGUAUUUCCUGACUGACUUCUCUCUACCAGUACUGAUUUCCA